AUUAAUCAACACUUCAAACAUUAAUGUUAUCAAUUAUGAACACAUAAUUAACACCAAAUUAAUCUCCACAAAUUCACACCUCAAUCACACAUCGAAUAUUCAUUAAAUCAAUUAUGAACACAUAAUUAACACCAAAUUAAUCUCCACAAAUUCACACCUCAAUCACACAUCGAAUAUUCAUUAAAUCAAUUAUGAACACAUAAUUAACACCAAAUUAAUCUCCACAAAUUCACACCUCAAUCACACAUCGAAUAUUCAUUAAAUCAAUUAUGAACACAUAAUUAUAUCAAAACUUAAUCAACCCAACUUCACACCUCAAAGCAAUUACGGAAAAUCACAACAACAACCGAAUAUGUAUAUACAAUCAUCAUAGUAUAACAAACAUGACUCGCGUGCCAAACACUCUAAUGCAAUGCGUAUAUGCCAAAAUGCAUGAUUCCGGAAUUCCAAACCAAAACUCUCCUCGAAUGGCUUAAUCAUAAUUGUACAGCCUCUCACAGACCAGUACUAAUUACCAAAGUGCAAUCUCUCACAUAUCAACACGAUUUACUAGUGUGCAGUCGCUCACAAACUA
rnacentral:lncRNA from 1 species